rnacentral:rRNA from 1 species
GACGAACGCUGGCGGCGUGCCUAAUACAUGCAAGUAGAACGCUGAAGGAGGAGCUUGCUCUUCUGGAUGAGUUGCGAACGGGUGAGUAACGCGUAGGUAACCUGCCUGGUAGCGGGGGAUAACUAUUGGAAACGAUAGCUAAUACCGCAUAACAGUAGAUGUUGCAUGACAUUUACUUAAAAGGUGCAAUUGCAUCACUACCAGAUGGACCUGCGUUGUAUUAGCUAGUUGGUGGGGUAACGGCUCACCAAGGCGACGAUACAUAGCCGACCUGAGAGGGUGAUCGGCCACACUGGGACUGAGACACGGCCCAGACUCCUACGGGAGGCAGCAGUAGGGAAUCUUCGGCAAUGGACGGAAGUCUGACCGAGCAACGCCGCGUGAGUGAAGAAGGUUUUCGGAUCGUAAAGCUCUGUUGUAAGAGAAGAACGAGUGUGAGAGUGGAAAGUUCACACUGUGACGGUAUCUUGCCAGAAAGGGACGGCUAACUACGUG